CCUACGGGAGGCAGCAGUAAGGAAUAUUGGUCAAUGGACGCAAGUCUGAACCAGCCAUGCCGCGUGAAGGAUUAAGGCCCUCUGGGUUGUAAACUUCUUUUAUAGGGGACGAAAAAAGAGCAUUCUUGCUCACUUGACGGUACCCUAGGAAUAAGCACCGGCUAACUCCGUGCCAGCAGCCGCGGUAAUACGGAGGGUGCAAGCGUUAUCCGGAUUUACUGGGUUUAAAGGGUGCGUAGGUGGGUUGGUAAGUCAGUGGUGAAAUCUUCGAGCUUAACUCGGAAACUGCCAUUGAUACUAUCAAUCUUGAAUCAUCUAGAGGUAAGCGGAAUAUGUCAUGUAGCGGUGAAAUGCUUAGAUAUGACAUAGAACACCAAUUGCGAAGGCAGCUUACUAUGGAUGUAUUGACACUGAGGCACGAAAGCGUGGGGAUCAAACAGGAUUAGAUACCCUGGUAGUCCACGCCCUAAACGAUGGAUACUCGACAUUUGUGAUAUACUAUAAGUGUCUGAGCGAAAGCAUUAAGUAUCCCACCUGGAAGCACGACCGCAAGGUUGAAACUCAAAUGAAUUGACGGCAGAGAGAGCGAGGACGACGACGAGGGAGGAGG
rnacentral:rRNA from 1 species